CGUGAGAGAGAGGGGGGUGUCUGCGCAUGAUGCGGGAAGCGCUCGGGCUGGCUUGGGCCGGGCGUAAGCGGGCCAGCCUCUUUCACACAGUGACUUUUCUUUUUUUUUUCCUUUUGUGCAAAAUGGAUUUAUGUUUGAAUUUGAAUAGAAAAAGUUAUGCAGAUUCAAAAAUUAUGGAAAUUUUUGUGUAGGUUCUAUAAAAUGAGUAGAACAUAGAAAAAAAUACUAAAUUCUAUUCUCUGGUAGUUUACAUGUAUAUAAAAAUUGCCUGUUUUAAUUAGUAAAUAAAAAUUCCAUGAAUUUUAAUAAUUUAUGGGUAUAUCCACAAAUCACCAAAAUUUGUGGGAAGUCUCUGAGUAUUAUUCCCUAGCAUCACACAA
rnacentral:lncRNA from 1 species